AACACACUUGGUGAGGUUUGGUAGUUUCUGGGUCUAAGAGCUGACCAGAAUUAAGAGGCGGCUAGUGUCAUGAUACACACUACUGCCACCCUCUGGUCAUCUUAUCACUGUGAAACAUUGUCCUCCUUAAACUCUCUCAAACAAAUCUCCACAGAGCAAUCCUCUUUUAUGGCGUUUCUUGGGAGUCCCACAUGUAUAGAGCCGCUUUGAGUCACAUUCUCCACAGUCUCCAUGAUGAUUGACGCAAACUCUGGCAAGUGUCAACAAAAACUUAUUGGAU